GACAACGGGCCUUCUCUACAAGAAUUUUUAGAGAGAGAGAGAGCCCUUUCAUUGUUUAUCUAAGUUCAGAGAAGCAAAGUGCGGUUCGAGAGAGAGAGGCGCAGAGAGAGGAGGCGAGAUCGCGUCCCUGCUUCGACGAUGAAGUGGACGACACUCGACAACAGAGCCAUGCGGCGCCGGAGAAGUUUGAAGCUCUGGUCAAGCUGUAGUGAAAGUGGCAACGAGUGCUUCUGUGAAAUCUCGUGAGCUUUCGUGAAUGUGUGAAAGUGACCCAGACCAGACCGCAAGACCUUGCAACGUUAACGGCCUUCCUGAAAUUUUGUCCAACCCCACCCAGCGCAGUUUGACAACCUUCGGCCCAAUAACCACCUUGACCCUAGAAGAAAGGAUCCUAGAAUGGCUUCUUGGCCCAGAUUGAAAAUAUUCAGCUUAAUCACAGCCCGGUUUCCAAACGUUUAACCCAACUAAAGCUUACGGAGCCAUGCCGCACCGGAGAAGUUUGAAGCUCUCUCUGGUCAAGUUUGGGGCCAAUGAUUUCGCAAUAACUAAGCAAAUAUAAAGUAUGAUUUUUGUUGCAGAGCCCUGAUGGGUUAACUGUGAUUUUGGGAGGGUCUUUGGACCACCGAGCACCGACAAAGCAAGAAUCUCCCCUCUGGAUGGUUUAUUUUAAGCGCAAUAACCGUGCCAAGUGCUAUUUUUCCUCGAGGUUUUGCUACUUUGGGUCUUUUAACUGAAAUGCAUCAAUCCCAUUGGUUAAUGAUGCAUGUAAGUAUGAUGGUAUUGAGCUGUGCAGCUCUUUUGUGUGGACCAUUAUUAUCAUUAGCUCUUCUAGUCAUUACAUUUCAAAAAUUCAGAAGGAUUUUUAGUAAAA